UGCCAGCCGCCGCGGUAACACGUAGGAGGCUAACGUUAUCCGGAUUUACUGGGCGUAAAGCGCGUGCAGGCUGUUCAAUAAGUUAGGCGUGAAAGCUCCCGGCUCAACUGGGAGAGGUCGUUUAAUACUGUUGGACUAGAGGAUGGUAGAGGGAGGUGGAAUUCCGGGUGUAGUGGUGAAAUGCGCAGAUAUCCGGAGGAACACCAGUGGCGAAAGCGGCCUCCUGGACCACUCCUGACGCUCAGACGCGAAAGCUAGGGUAGCAAACAGGAUUAGAUA
rnacentral:rRNA from 1 species